rnacentral:rRNA from 1 species
UACGUAGGGACCGAGCGUUGUCCGGAAUCAUUGGGCGUAAAGAGCGUGUAGGCGGCCACUUAAGUCCUGCGUGAAAUCUUGCGGCUCAACCGCAAGCGGUCGUGGGAAACUGGGUGGCUAGAGUGCGGGAGAGGAGAGUGGAAUUCCUGGUGUAGAGGUGAAAUUCGUAGAUAUCAGGAGGAACACCAGUGGCGAAGGCGGCUUCUGGACGGUAACUGACGCUGAGACGCGAAAGCGUGGGGAGCAAACAGG